rnacentral:tRNA from 1 species
GGGAAGGUGGCUCAGGGGUAGAGUGCUUGCCUCACAUGCAUGAGGCUCUGGGUUCGAUUCCCCAGCACCCCA